rnacentral:misc_RNA from 1 species
UACGGAGGGUGCAAGCGUUGCUCGGAAUCACUGGGCGUAAAGCGUACGCAGGCGGCGCGUUAAGUCGGGUGUGAAAGCCCAGGGCUCAACCCUGGAAUUGCAUUCGAAACUGGCGCGCUUGAGUACGGGAGAGGGAAGCGGAAUUCCUGGUGUAGAGGUGAAAUUCGUAGAUAUCAGGAGGAACACCUGUGGCGAAAGCGGCUUCCUGGCCCGAUACUGACGCUCAUGUACGAAAGCGUGGGGAGCAAACAGG